UGGGGAAUAUUGCACAAUGGGCGAAAGCCUGAUGCAGCAACGCCGCGUGAGUGAUGAAGGUCUUCGGAUUGUAAAGCUCUGUCUUUUGGGACGAUAAUGACGGUACCAAAGGAGGAAGCCACGGCUAACUACGUGCCAGCAGCCGCGGUAAUACGUAGGUGGCGAGCGUUGUCCGGAUUUACUGGGCGUAAAGGGUGCGUAGGCGGAUGUUUAAGUGAGAUGUGAAAUACCCGGGCUUAACUUGGGUGCUGCAUUUCAAACUGGAUAUCUAGAGUGCAGGAGAGGAGAAUGGAAUUCCUAGUGUAGCGGUGAAAUGCGUAGAGAUUAGGAAGAACACCAGUGGCGAAGGCGAUUCUCUGGACUGUAACUGACGCUGAGGCACGAAAGCGUGAGUAGCAAACAGGAUUAAAUACCCUGGUAGUCCACGCCGUAAACGAUGAGUACUAGGUGUAGGAGGUAUCGACCCCUUCUGUGCCGCAGUAAACACAUUAAGUACUCCGCCUGGGAAGUACGAUCGCAAGAUU
rnacentral:rRNA from 1 species